AUGAACGCUGGCGGCGUGCCUAAUCCAUGCAAGUCGAGCGAACAGACGAGGAGCUUGCUCCUCUGACGUUAGCGGCGGACGGGUGAGUAACACGUGGAUAACCUACCUAUAAGACUGGGAUAACUUCGGGAAACCGGAGCUAAUACCGGAUAAUAUAUUGAACCGCAUGGUUCAAUAGUGAAAGACGGUUUUGCUGUCACUUAUAGAUGGAUCCGCGCCGCAUUAGCUAGUUGGUAAGGUAACGGCUUACCAAGGCAACGAUGCGUAGCCGACCUGAGAGGGUGAUCGGCCACACUGGAAAUGAGACACGGUCCAGACUCCUACGGGAGGCAGCAGUAGGGAAUCUUCCGGAAUGGGCGAAAGACUGAAGGAGCAACGCCGCGUGAGUGAUGAAGGUCUUCGGAUCGUAAAACUCUGUUAUUAGGGAAGAACAAAUGUGUAAGUAACUAUGCACGUCUUGACGGUACCUAAUCAGAAAGCCACGGCUAACUACG
rnacentral:rRNA from 1 species